CUUGCAGAUCUCGUGAUCAUCGAAACUUCGAACGCAU
rnacentral:rRNA from 1 species